UCCGCGACGGUCCUGUUUCAACCACUCCAAGACCGAGGUUCGUCGAUCGCCACCAUGUGCCGAUCAUCGAGCUCGUCUCUGCCCAUCCCCGUACGCCGCAUUGAAGACGAGCACAUCCUCUCCACCCACCCACGCCCACUCUCUCGUUCUCUCUCUCGUUUCACUCUCCCUCUCCCUCCUGACGCCAUGAGCGGAGCGUGAGCUCCUCCCGUUCGCCGGCCAAUUCCGCGAGCUUCCCUCCAUGGAUUUCAAAUCCACCGCACCUGAAGCUCGACCACCUCCCUAGCUCCCUCCUCAACCCCUCCAACCACAGCCACAACCCCCACCUCGCCGGGAAUCUCGGAUUCCCCGGCCGUCAGUUCGAGUUUCGCCCAAACUCGACCUCACCGUGGAACUCCAUCGUCCGGGCACCGUUUCUUUCGUCCAAGGGCUCAAAUCGACUGACACACAGACGUAGACUUCUAUCCCUGCUGCGUUAAGUUCAUCCGUCGGGACACAGAGGGAUGUGAGGUUGUGGAGCCAGAUUCUUAGUUAGGGGACUCCUCGGCUUGUGUUAGUUGUAUGCCUUUUCUCCUCUAUUCGAACCUGAGUUUCUGUAAUGUAAAGUUUGUAAAUUAUGUAUAUAUUCCAACUUGGUUCGUAAAACUUAUGGCGGAGUCAUAUGUAUAUUGUUGCAUUUUCAAGUAUU